CCCACCUCUUGCUUCUGGCACUUUUCAUUUUUGUCCCUUGUGAGUUAAGUCUAUAUCCCAGGACUAUGUCUUAGGAGGGCUAGUGCCCAAGGGCCUGCACUGUCCAGGGACUGGCAUUUCCCACAGCUCUUCAUGUUUUUUGAAAUCUCUGCUUAUUCCAUAGCUACUAUUAGUUCACUGUCUGCUAUGCUAAAGUCUUCUAAAUGAAUUACAUCUUGUUAUGUCCUGAUGAGGGAGGUGUAAAAAUACCUUAGUGAAGAAAGUCCUCAUCAUAGCAGAAAAAAAUCCCCAAAUGAAACCACACAACAAGGAGUGUAGAGCUUGCUUUUUAAUACUUUCAGGAAGCAAACCAACAAAAAUUUCUGUACAAUAGAAUUUAGCAUUAUGUAACAGUUCUUGGGUUUCUUUUCCUUUUAGAAUUCCUCCAAAGUAAAUGAGCUUGAGUUUAACCCAGCAUCCCUUACUAAAGACUGUGACCAACUGAGUUGCUGGGAACCUGUGGAAUUUGCUCCUGAACAAAAAAGAGUAGCCAGUCAGGCUGAGGGUGCAGUGCAGCUGCUGCAGCAAAUGGAGCAAACAGGAAAGAAAGGAAGCACAAAGUCAGAGGGAAGAGGUCUUUCACAGUUCUGGAGAAGCAUCUUUUCACCACUACAACAUCUUUUUGGUGGAAAAAACUGACCUGGAAGUACUAAUUGUUGCGGAAAGCUAUCUCUGGAUCAGUAGGCACGGCUACUACCUGCAUUCCUUUGAUCACAUGUUGAAUGAGUUGUAUUAAGCAAGGGAUCAUGCAUGGUAAAAAGAUUAGAGUUGCUACAACACAUAAGAGGAAAAAAGCAUUUGUUUGACUUAUAGGCUACCAGGUAACUAUGAAAACAUGUCCCAUUCCCAUCCUUUCCAUGUUUGGACCGGUACAUGGGCUAACUUUUUUAUUCCUUUUGUUAUUUGUUUUACCACUUUUCUAUUGUCAUUUAUUUGCAAACAGCAGUUUGAGUCAUUAAAUUUUCUACACCCCCCCCCACCCCGUUAUCUGCUAAUAAAUAGUCUAAUACUAUCCGAUGUUGAAAUACUGCAUUUCUCAUCUUAGUAUACUGGUCAGCAAGAAGGUCAAGAGCUGUAGCUGUCUGGUUGAUUAUCAUUUCAAAGACAGCUUGCAACCUAAUUAUUCGAUUUAGAUUAUGAAUGGGUUCUCUGGCACCUGAUAUUAAUUCAUUUGGGUUCCAGGUAGCUGGUCCAUAGUGUUGUAUGAUUUGUUCAGGUGGCCAUUCAUCUUUUCCCCACUUUUGGGUGCUCCUUCCAACCAGGGAUGUAUCAAUGGACCGCUUCUCUCUAAUUAGAUCAUCAUAUACUUUGAUUCUUAACUGAUUUCCUUGAACUUGUGGUAGCAGAAAGAACAAUGGUCUAAUAUACCCCACAUAACAUAUUCCUGACCAGUUUGGAGAUAGCCUGCGGUAAGCAUUUUGGCCACAAAUCCAGUAAUGCCCCUUUAGAGCCCAGGUCCCAUUAGUGAAGGGACCUUUCCAAUUUUUAUCAUCAACUGGUGGGUCAAAAUACA